rfam:Rhodococcus erythropolis PR4 DNA, complete genome.
ACGGAAGAACGGAAGGCCAGGAACGGCUCGGAAGAGAAGGACCGUUUCCCCAACCGAAAUUCCUAGCACGGGCACUAGGGCACCCACGCGGAGCACAAGCCACUAUAAGGGCAGAAGCGUUGUGGGCCUGCGAGAUUCGUUCAAUUUGAGCGAGGACCCCGCACCGGUUGCGGGGACGACCUCAGAAAGUGCGAUCCCUCGCCGAGGCCACCCACACAACCCACCGAGCACGCUUGGUAACGAGUAGUCCGUGCUGACGGGCGGCGAAGUCGAUUUAUCGGCAGCGCCGCCCGUUCGUUAUG